UACGUAGGGUGCGAGCGUUAAUCGGAAUUACUGGGCGUAAAGCGUGCGCAGGCGGUUAUUUAAGUCAGGGGUGAAAGCCCUGGGCUUAACCUAGGAAUUGCGCUUGAGACUGGAUAGCUUGGAGUGCGGCAGAGGGAGGUGGAAUUCCACGUGUAGCAGUGAAAUGCGUAGAGAUGUGGAGGAACACCGAUGGCGAAGGCAGGUCUCUGGGCCAUUACUGACACUGAGAAGCGAAAGCAUGGGGAGCGAACAGG
rnacentral:rRNA from 1 species